CAGAUGGAUCUCUAGAGGAGAAACUGGUGGAGCUGAGAGGAGGAAGAGCCAUCAAGGUAUUUGAAGAGGACCAACCCCUGUUGAUUGACCAUCGAAAAAAAGAACUGCUACUCAGAAAGGACAUUUACCAAUGGAAAACCAUGGCUGAAGGAAUACCCCACCAGAAUAAUUUCGAUGAUGGGUCUGAGCUCCCAGCUGAAAUCCG